rnacentral:rRNA from 1 species
AGGGCAUACGGUGGAUGCCUUGGCAUCAGGAGGCGAUGAAGGACGCGCUAACCUGCGAAAAGCUUCGGCGAGGCGGUAAGAGCCAUUGACCCGGAGAUAUCCGAAUGGGGAAACCCACUGGAAGUGAUGUUCCAGUAUCAUGAUGUGAAUACAUAGCAUCAUGAGGCGAACCCGGGGAACUGAAACAUCUCAGUACCCGGAGGAAAAGAAAUCAACCGAGAUUCCGCAAGUAGCGGCGAGCGAACGCGGAGGAGCCUGUGCUGUAUAAUUGAAUUUCAUGUUAGCAGAAGCAUCUGGAAAGUUGCGCCAUAGACAGUGAAAGCCUGGUACGCAAAAACAUGAGAGACAUGACAGCCGACAAGUAAGCCGGGGCACGAGAAACCUUGGCCGAAGAUGGGGGGACCACCCUCCAAGGCUAAAUACUCCCUGAUGACCGAUAGUGCAACAGUACCGUGAGGGAAAGGUGAAAAGAACCCCUGUUAGGGGAGUGAAAUAGAACCUGAAACCGUAUGUCUACAAGCGGUUCGAAAGGACUUAGUUCCUUGAGAGCGUGCCUUUUGCAUAAUGAACCUACGAGUUAAUGUAUGAUGCAAGGUUAAGCCGUAAGGUGUAGCCGUAGGGAAACCGAGUCUGAAUAGGGCGCUUAGUAUCAUGUAUUAGACGCGAAACCAAGUGAUCUAUGCCUGGCCAGGGUGAAGCUUUGGUAACACAAAGUGGAGGCCCGAACCGAUAUGGGUUGAAAACCGUCCGGAUGAGCUGGGUAUAGGGGUGAAAGGCCAAUCAAACUUGGAGAUAGCUCGUUCUCCCCGAAAUAUAUUGAGGUAUAGCCUCAGGUGUUUCUUUUUGGGUGUAGAGCACUGAAUCGGCUAGGGGUCCCACCAGAUUACCAAACCGAAUCAAACUCCGAAGCCCAUUAAGUAGAGCCUGGGAGUCAGACUGCGGGAGAUAAGUUCCGUAGUCGAAAGGGAAAGAGCCCAGACCAUCAGCUAAGGUCCUCAAGUGCGUGCUAAGUGGAAAAGGAUGUGGACUUGCCUGGACAACCAGGAGGUUGGCUUAGAAGCAGCCAUUCCUUUAAAGAAAGCGUAAUAGCUCACUGGUCGAGUGAGUCUGCGCCGAAGAUAUAACGGGGCUCAAGCACGCCACCGAAGCUAUGGACUUCAGCAAUGAAGUGGUAGGGGAGCGUUGUAUAAAGCGCUGAAGGUGAACCCGUAAGGGACACUGGAGUUUAUACAAGUGAUCAUGUAGNCAAGCACGCCACCGAAGCUAUGGACUUCAGCAAUGAAGUGGUAGGGGAGCGUUGUAUAAAGCGCUGAAGGUGAACCCGUAAGGGACACUGGAGUUUAUACAAGUGAUCAUGUAGGUAUGAGUAACGAAAAAAUGGGUGAGAACCCCAUUCGCCGAAAGCCUAAGGUUUCCUGUGCAAUGUCAGUCAGAACAGGGUGAGUCGGCCCCUAAGGCGAGGCCGAGAGGCGUAGUCGACGGGAAGCAGGUAAAAAUUCCUGCACCACAGUGUAACACGAUGCGGGGACGGAGAAAGGUAUCUGGGAGUUCUGUUGGAAUAGGACUUUCAAGGGUGUAGGCUUGGAUGUAGUGAAAAACGCAUCCAGUGAAGGCUAAGGCUCGAUAACGAGAGAAUACAUGUAUUCUCAAGCCAGAAAUCCUCGGCUUCCAAGAAAAGCCGCUAAGGUUAAUUGCACUGUGACCGUACCGCAAACCGACACAGGUAGGUGGGUAGAGAAUACUAAGGCGCACGAGAGAACUCUAGCUAAGGAACUCGGCAAACUGACCCCGUAACUUCGGAAGAAGGGGUGCCUUUGGUAGGUGAUCAUGCUAGCCAUGUGAGCCCAAGAAGGUCGCAGAGUCCAGUCCCAGGCAACUGUUUAUCAAAAACACAGCACUAUGCAAACACGAAAGUGGAAGUAUAUGGUGUGACGCCUGCCCGGUGCUGGAAGGUUAAAAGGAGAGGUUAGCGCAAGCGAAGCUUUGAAUUGAAGCCCCAGUAAACGGCGGCCGUAACUAUAACGGUCCUAAGGUAGCGAAAUUCCUUGUCGGGUAAGUUCCGACCUGCACGAAUGGCGUAAUGAUCUGGGAGCUGUCUCGGCUAGAGACUCGGUGAAAUUGUAGUAGCGGUGAAGAUGCCGCUUAACCGCAGCAAGACGGAAAGACCCCGUGCACCUUUACUAUAACUUGGCAAUGAUAAUCGGUGUAUCAUGUGUAGGAUAGGUGGGAGGCGUAGAAGCUGGGACGCUAGUCUCGGUGGAGCCAACCUUGAAAUACCACCCUUGGUACACUGGCUAUCUAACUCUCUCCCGUAAUCCGGGAGGAGGACAUUGUCUGGUGGGUAGUUUGACUGGGGCGGUCGCCUCCGAAAGAGUAACGGAGGCGCGCGAAGGUUUCCUCAGGACGGUCGGAAAUCGUCCGCAGAGUGUAUUGGCAGAAGGAAGCUUAACUGCGAGACCAACAAGUCGAGCAGGUACGAAAGUAGGUCAAAGUGAUCCGGUGGUCCCGCGUGGAAGGGCCAUCGCUCAACGGAUAAAAGGUACGCCGGGGAUAACAGGCUUAUCUCCCCCAAGAGUUCACAUCGACGGGGAGGUUUGGCACCUCGAUGUCGGCUCAUCGCAUCCUGGGGCUGGAGCAGGUCCCAAGGGUAUGGCUGUUCGCCAUUUAAAGCGGUACGCGAGCUGGGUUCAGAACGUCGUGAGACAGUUCGGUCCCUAUCUGCUGUGGUCGUAGGAUACUUGCGAGGGUCUGUCCCUAGUACGAGAGGACCGGGAUGGACAAACCUCUAGUGCACCAGUUGUCUCGCCAGAGGCACAGCUGGGUAGCUAUGUUUGGAACGGAUAACCGCUGAAAGCAUCUAAGCGGGAAGCCAGCCUCAAGAUUAAGUAUCCCCAUGAGAGUCCAUGUAGACUACGUGGUUGAUAGGCUGGGAGUGUAAUGGUAGUAAUACCUUCAGCUGACCAGUACUAAUAACUCCAUUGAACUUUUU